UUGCUUCCUUCAGCAGCACAUAUACUAAAAUUGGAAUGAUACAGAGUAGAUUAGCAUGGCUCCUGUGCAUGGAUGACAUGGAAAUUUGUGACAUGCUCCAUAUGUUU
ensembl:snRNA U6 U6 spliceosomal RNA